rnacentral:rRNA from 1 species
GAUGAACGCUAGCUACAGGCUUAACACAUGCAAGUCGAGGGGCAGCAUGGUCUUAGCUUGCUAAGGCCGAUGGCGACCGGCGCACGGGUGAGUAACACGUAUCCAACCUGCCGUCUACUCUUGGACAGCCUUCUGAAAGGAAGAUUAAUACAAGAUGGCAUCAUGAGUCCGCAUGUUCACAUGAUUAAAGGUAUUCCGGUAGACGAUGGGGAUGCGUUCCAUUAGAUAGUAGGCGGGGUAACGGCCCACCUAGUCUUCGAUGGAUAGGGGUUCUGAGAGGAAGGUCCCCCACAUUGGAACUGAGACGCGGUCCAAACUCCUACGGGAGGCAGCAGUGAGGAAUAUUGGUCAAUGGGCGAGAGCCUGAACCAGCCAAGUAGCGUGAAGGAUGACUGCCCUAUGGGUUGUAAACUUCUUUUAUAAAGGAAUAAAGUCGGGUAUGGAUACCCGUUUGCAUGUACUUUAUGAAUAAGGAUCGGCUAACUCCGUGCCAGCAGCCGCGGUAAUACGGAGGAUCCGAGCGUUAUCCGGAUUUAUUGGGUUUAAAGGGAGCGUAGAUGGAUGUUUAAGUCAGUUGUGAAAGUUUGCGACUCAACCGUAAAAUUGCAGUUGAUACUGGAUAUCUUGAGUGCAGUUGAGGUAGGCGGAAUUCGUGGUGUAGCGGUGAAAUGCUUAGAUAUCACGAAGAACUCCGAUUGCGAAGGCAGCCUGCUAAGCUGCAACUGACAUUGAGGCUCUAAAGUGUGGGUAUCAAACAGGAUUAGAUACCCUGGUAGUCCACACGGUAAACGAUGAAUACUCGCUGUUUGCGAUAUACAGCAAGCGGCCAAGCGAAAGCGUUAAGUAUUCCACCUGGGGAGUACGCCGGCAACGGUGAAACUCAAAGGAAUUGACGGGGGCCCGCACAAGCGGAGGAACAUGUGGUUUAAUUCGAUGAUACGCGAGGAACCUUACCCGGGCUUAAAUUGCAGAUGAAUUACGGUGAAAGCCGUAAGCCGCAAGGCAUCUGUGAAGGUGCUGCAUGGUUGUCGUCAGCUCGUGCCGUGAGGUGUCGGCUUAAGUGCCAUAACGAGCGCAACCCUUGUUGUCAGUUACUAACAGGUUCCGCUGAGGACUCUGACAAGACUGCCAUCGUAAGAUGUGAGGAAGGUGGGGAUGACGUCAAAUCAGCACGGCCCUUACGUCCGGGGCUACACACGUGUUACAAUGGGGGGUACAGAGGGCCGCUACCACGCGAGUGGAUGCCAAUCCCCAAAACCUCUCUCAGUUCGGACUGGAGUCUGCAACCCGACUCCACGAAGCUGGAUUCGCUAGUAAUCGCGCAUCAGCCACGGCGCGGUGAAUACGUUCCCGGGCCUUGUACACACCGCCCGUCAAGCCAUGGGAGCCGGGGGUACCUGAAGUGCGUAACCGCGAGGAGCGCCCUAGGGUA